AAACUGCAUUCGACCGCCGACAUUGGCUACGAUUAGAAGUGCGAGCUAGUAACUAAUACUAACCUCCUUCGAUUUGUGACUGUAUUUGCACCAAUCCACCUGUUCUCCCUGUAAAUGUGUGAAAAUGACUGAUGUGUCCUAUAUGUGUGUAGCUGUGUUGUUCAUCCUGGGCCAGAUAUAACACCCAUAGCAAGCAAAAAGAAACAAGAAGACUGAAAAGAUACACCAAGCAAACAUAAACUAAAAAAAAAAAGAAAAAGAAAAAAAAAAAACACUAUAARAUUACUGUUAGUGAGUAAGACUUUAGAGGAUCAGGG